AGAAGCAGCACAAACAGUUAGAAACAUCUGAAUGUUGAAUGAAACUUGGUAUAAAACAUCAGAAAAUUAAUGCCAUAAAUAUUGUAUUAUCAGAACAAAAGGGUUAACGACAUGUUAAGUGCAAAGGGAGGUCAUAAUAAAUACAAUCACUUUGGUUUAUAGAAUAGAGGCCUAUUUUC